UACGUAGGGGGGCUAGCGUUGUCCGGAUUUAUUGGGCGUAAAGCGCGUGUAGGCGGCCAGAUAGGUCUGCUGUGAAAACUCGAGGCUCAACCUCGAGCUGUCGGCGGAAACCAUCCGGCUAGAGUCCGGAAGAGGAGAGUGGAAUUCCUGGUGUAGCGGUGAAAUGCGCAGAUAUCAGGAGGAACACCAAUUGCGAAGGCAGCUCGCUGGGACGUUACUGACGCUGAGACGCGAAAGCGUGGGGAGCAAACAGG
rnacentral:rRNA from 1 species